GAGGGGCAGCGAGUAGAUUGCUUGCAAUCUACGUCGGCGACCGGCGCACGGGUGCGUAACGCGUAUGCAACCUACCCAUUACAGGGGGAUAACACUGAGAAAUCGGUACUAAUACCCCAUAACAUCCAGGGAGGCAUCUUCUUGGGUUGAAAACUCCGGUGGUAAUGGAUGGGCAUGCGUUGUAUUAGUUAGUUGGUGGGGUAACGGCUCACCAAGACGACGAUACAUAGGGGGACUGAGAGGUUAACCCCCCACAUUGGUACUGAGACACGGACCAAACUCCUACGGGAGGCAGCAGUGAGGAAUAUUGGUCAAUGGACGCAAGUCUGAACCAGCCAUGCCGCGUGCAGGAAGACGGCUCUAUGAGUUGUAAACUGCUUUUGUACGAGGGUAAACGCAGAUACGUGUAUCUGUCUGAAAGUAUCGUACGAAUAAGGAUCGGCUAACUCCGUGCCAGCAGCCGCGGUAAUACGGAGGAUUCAAGCGUUAUCCGGAUU
rnacentral:rRNA from 1 species